GACGAACGCUGGCGGCGUGCUUAACACAUGCAAGUCGAACGGAAAGGCCCUGCUUUUGUGGGGUGCUCGAGUGGCGAACGGGUGAGUAACACGUGAGUAACCUGCCCUUGACUUUGGGAUAACUUCAGGAAACUGGGGCUAAUACCGGAUAGGAGCUCCUGCUGCAUGGUGGGGGUUGGAAAGUUUCGGCGGUUGGGGAUGGACUCGCGGCUUAUCAGCUUGUUGGUGGGGUAGUGGCUUACCAAGGCUUUGACGGGUAGCCGGCCUGAGAGGGUGACCGGGCACAUUGGGACUGAGAGAGGGCCCAGACUCGUACGUGAGGCAGCGGGGGGAAGUAUGGCACAAUAGGCGGAAGCCUGAUGCAGCAACGUCGCGUGCGGAAUGACGGCCUUCGGGGUGUAAACCGCUUUCGCCUGUGACGAAGCGUGAGUGACGGUAAUGGGUAAAGAAGCACCGGCUAACUACGUG
rnacentral:rRNA from 1 species